GACAGAGGGUGCAAACGUUGUUCGGAAUCACUGGGCGUAAAGGGCGCGUAGGCGGCCGCUCAAGUCGGGGGUGAAAGCCUGUGGCUUAACCACAGAAUUGCCUUCGAUACUGUUUGGCUUGAGACCGGAAGAGGUGAGUGGAACUGCGAGUGUAGAGGUGAAAUUCGUAGAUAUUCGCAAGAACACCAGUGGCGAAGGCGGCUCACUGGUCCGGUUCUGACGCUGAGGCGCGAAAGCGUGGGGAGCAAACAGG
rnacentral:rRNA from 1 species